rnacentral:rRNA from 1 species
UACGGGGGGAGCAAGCGUUGUUCGGAUUUACUGGGCGUAAAGGGCGCGUAGGCGGUCGUGACAAGUCACUUGUGAAAUCUCCGGGCUUAACUCGGAACGGUCAAGUGAUACUGUCGGACUAGAGUACAGAAGGGGCAACUGGAAUUCUCGGUGUAGCGGUGAAAUGCGUAGAUAUCAGGAGGAACACCGGUGGCGAAGGCGGGUCUCUGGGCCGAAACUGACGCUGAGGAGCGAAAGCGUGGGGAGCAAACAGG